CGGAGGUGGCUCGUUGUUGUCGUUCCAGUGUUACGUAAUGAGAGGAAGAUCCUGCCUCUCGAUUGUAUUACUGUUCAGACUUACCUUGCUAGGUGUUUGGGCCCUAUGGAUGAAUGACUAGACAGACUCAGAGUGGCCAAGGAAACUGAAACUAGGCACAUCACGGUCCUGCUACUCCAUAGCUGAUCAGCUGGAGCUGAACCCUGAUUUCUCCCCACCUGGCAAGAAUUACACCUGGAUGGAUGUGGGAAACCUGACGGAAAACAUUAUGUAAGAGUGGAACAUGCCUCGCAUCACAGAUGUGGUGUACAACCACAAAGAUCCUUAGAGGGCUUCUGUGGACGGAGGUUUUCUCCCAACUGAAACUAUGGGAGCUUCUACAGGCUAUAAACUGCAUAGUGGGAUUGGUUUGUUAUGAAAGGCUCACCUCAUACAACCCAGGGAUUGGACCUGUCACCCGGACAAACCCUUUGGUGAUUAGGCAAGUAUUAUGUAGUCUUGCAGAGCAACGCUGGCAGCUUAAAGUCUAAUCUGCUUUGCAACAUAUUCUGGCCAAGAACUGCCCACUUAAACAGGAAGAGAUCAUCCGACAGGCCAGCCACAGCUUGUUUUGUAUUUAUAUAUUGUAGUAGGAAAGGAGUAAGGAAAUCUGAAUUCAUCCAAGAUGUAGAUGAGUGUGAUUUACAUCACUUGCUCAAAAUGGAACCAAAGCAUCACAACGAUCCACAGUUAAGGACAAUUUUAAAUUUAAACCAUCACUUCCAUUGCAGAAUUAUGAGUCCUUUAUCCAUAACAUUGUUUUUUCCGGCGAAAAAGAUAUGUACGGUAGUCUAAAACAAGACACUGUCAUAAACUUUGGCCUUUGUUAUGAGAAGAUUUGUUCUGUCUCCAUCAGAGGCCAUUAGUGCAGGGGACAGUCAUGAGGAAGGUUGACUGGUUUAUUGUUUCGGAGGAGAGCCUGUAUGGCUAUAUAUUAUAAGAUAUGUUUCUUGAGCACUAAAUCAGAAACAUUUCUGAAGAUUGUGUGACAUUGAGGACUGGAGUAAUUAUGCUGAAAAUUCAGCUUUGGCAUCACAGGAAUAAAUUGCAUUACAUUUUUUAUUUAUUUAUUUAUUUUUUUAAAUAGAAAAAGACUUCUUUUAAAAUCUGACUCACCCCAAACUUUUGAAUGGCAGUCAAUGUUGAGAAAUCCAUGUAUUUUAUGUAAACAUUUUUACUUCAUUACCAGUUAUGUGACACAAAUCAUUUGUUCAGUCAACACCUGAUUAUAAAACUCCCUCUACAAAUCAUUUCUGUUUUUCUCACUCGACCAGAGUCCUUUUUACCUAUCUGGGACAUUAUUCAUACAUAAAAGCCUUUCUGUUAUUAAUUUGUUUUCCUUCUUUUCAGGACAAAAUGUUUCCCAGGGUUGUAAUAUACCUGGAUAAAGAUAUUUAUCUUAAUGGAGUAACUCCACUGUUAAUGCAACAUUGCAAAUGCUGCCAUAUUUGUUUCAAAGACAGAUUUUGAAAGUGAUUUUUAGCCAGUCAUCCGAGCUAUAAAAGCUUUGUGAUUGAUCACUCUUGCAGCAAACAGGCAAAUAUGUUGCAAAUGUGUCUGCAAAAAUUCCACAUAAUGGUGUUGGUACAUUAACUGAGAUUUCAGUAGUAAAGGAAGAGCAUCUGUACCCCAAAUGGAAUCCCGAUGCACUGCCCUCUUCUGUUGGGGAGGUGAACCUCCAAACUGGUAUAAUGUCUGGGAAACUUGACCUCAAACUCCACCAAGAGCUGGCAGAGAAGGGCUUCACCCAGGUUUAUGUGAUCAACUGGAUGACGACACCAUGGCUGUGACCAGGCAAUGUCCCAGCGCACAUCAGUCUGUCGUGACUGUGUCUCGUUUAGCCUUUAAAAACCCAGAAACACACCAAUACAUAAAGCAUCUGGCCCCAAUGUACUGUACAUCCCAGGCAAAAUUGAGGAGGUGAUGUUAGAAGCACGUACAGUGAGAAACGCUGAGUCAUAUGUGAAAGACGAGAGGUUCAUGGUCUACAUGGUUGAGAUCAGUGAACACGUACAGUUAAAGGACAGUGAAAUCAUUAAACAGGGAGAUGACAUCAUGAGGGCCACAGUGAUUUUGUUGAGGAGGUUUUGUUUGAAUAGCUCACACCUGGUAGUGCAAUUGCAUUCAGUUUAAUGUCCAAACUGACUCUGGCUGAGUUGAAAGUGUUGUUAUCCCGAUGUGACGAGGAGGAACAGGAAGAUGGUGGGUGGGUGGGAUGCUGCUAUACCAUUCUGGAUGCUGCUGAAGGAUGGAGGCCUACAAGGUACCAAUAUACACAUGUAACAUGACUGAAAUGAGAAUACUUUCUGUGGGCAAAGAAAUCAUAAAUAACAACUUUAUUCAGUAAUUCAAACAAUGCAUUUACUACCUUAAUGUGGUAGUUGCGUUGCUGUUUAUGAAGGGCCAGAAAACUCUCGGGUUUCAUCAAAAAUAUCUCAAUUUGUGUUCUGAAGAUGUGUUUGGAUUGACAUGAGGGUGAGUAAUUAAUAACAGAAUUUUCAUUUUUGGGCGAACUAUCCCUUUAAGUUGCAUUGUGAUUAAAAUAAUUUUUAUUGAUGUGUCAAUUUAUACACUUCUACAUAUUACGCACUUAUUACAAAAUGUCACCUAUACAGGUCUGCCGCAUUUCUCCUCUGAAAUCUUCUGCUGUUGGGGGAGAGACACUUUCAUAGUGGACUACUGUAAUAUUGUUCCCAACGGUACAGAUAUUAUGUGCCCUGUGUCACGUAUGUAUCCCACUGAUGAUUCUGAGGCACAGCCCCUGGGGACAGUGUUCAGAAGAAUGGAAAAAAAAUCUAUGACUGCUUAUGAUGCUUGACAGCACAAUGCCGUGCCCUACUUAUAUGAUACAUUAAGGGGAGGUACAACUUUAUUUACCUUACAAACAGUAUAACAUCCAACAUAUUAGUCACUGGAAUAAAUAAACGUUACAUUUUUAUGAUUUUGUUUCCCUGUUGCUUAUUACAUUUUGACUGAAGGCGGUUAAUAUUUUUGUUUAUGAAUUGUAAGGUUCAUGACCAGCUGUUAUAUAGGCUAUGCAUUGUCAUAUGAAUAGAGCGUAGGGAAUAGAGUUCAGAGAGAGAAACUCAGGUCCACAGAUCGACCAUAACAUGCGAGAUGAAGGUGAGUGAUUUACUAAAACCUUUCCUAUUGUCCUGUCCCGUAGGCUUUGAUGUGGAGGACAAAGUAAAUCCCACAACAGGAUAUGUUUAGGGUGGACAUCGCUUCAACUGUGGGGCAUAGAUGGAUAAAAUGGGACAGAGCAACAACGCCCAUAAUAGAGGUGUUCCAGCUACACCCAAGGAUGGCUCUGUGGUGGAGAUUGUGGGUCUCAGUAAGUCAGCGGUGCGCUGGCUGAUGACGAUGAAUGAGAAUGGAAAUUCCCCAUACUCCUCUGUCACAAUACACAGAGAUGGUACAUCCUGUUUAACACAUUCUCAAUGAAACAGAACAGAACAGUCAGUGUCCUAUAAAGUGUGGAAUCAAAGGAUCCAGGAGGAGGUUUUCUACGUGUCAGAAGACCCUUCAGACCAAAAUGAGCAACAUCCUGGUCCACAAGAAAUGCAUUUACAAAGACCGUUACGGGCCUCUAAUUCCCUGGUGUGACUACCAACUCAGACCUAACUUCACCAUCGCUAUGGUGGUGGUGAGUCCAAGUGCUUAUAAGAGAUUCUUUCAAAGAAUUUUUGAGGAUGUUCUGUUAUACAGUACUUUGUUUCACUGGGCACCAGAGUUGUUUACAGUGCAAAGAUCAUGGAAGGCUUUAGAGGGAGUAGAGAAGAAGGUGCUUGGUCCUCUGGGAAUGAAAACGCUGGAUGCAGAGUCAGUAGAAAACAACACCUGCUGUCUGCCUUGAUCUGGUGGACUGCGGUGUUUAUGACAACGCCCUGGAUAAUGACAGCUACAACUGUGCGAAAGGAUUCAACUAUCACCAAGGACCUGUAUGUUUUAAUAAAUUAAAGGAAUAGUUUUGUCCACAUUUAACAUUUUGCACAUUUAACAUUUAACAUCAUUGUUUCUUAACCCUCAAGUUGUUCCGAACAUGUAAUGAUUUCUUUCUUAUUCUGAACUCUAAAGAAUGUGAGUAACCAAAUGGUUCUGGUUCCCACAUAAACCCCAUACCUCCUGAAACAUGGACCAUCUCACCUCCUCCACCCCCCACAUACCCCCCCCCCCCCCCAACCUUACCACAUCACAGAAAAACUAUCUGAAACAUUCUUUUUUUUUUGUGCAAUUCUCCUCUAUGUAAUCCCACAAAAGACUCAAAUAUGUGUAUGUUUACAUGCUCGUGCACUACAAAUCAUCCUGGACUGUUCCCCAGCCAGCUGCUUGACUCACGGAUAGUAUUUAAAGUCAAAGUCUGUCAGUAGGUUAGUUGUGUAUAGGUAUAGUAUUAUGUGAAACAUUUGUAUUGUCUGUAUUUUUAAUCUUAUGCAUAGUUGAACAUUAAUAUAUAGUAUUUAUAAUCCAAAUCUGUCAGUAGGUUAGUUGUGUAUGGUUUAUACUGUUUUACUUCUGUAUUUAUGUAUAGCACCUGGGUCCUGUGAGACACAACAUUUCGUUCCACUGCAUGUCCACACAUGUAGCAGAAUGACAAUAAAGUUCAACUUGAACAUUUUAACUUUUAGAGAGAUUUUUCUGUCAUGUUUACACUCUUGUUAGUAACUACCAGCAUAUUCUGAUUUAGUUUGUUGGUUACAAAACUGAUUUAUGCCCAUUUGUGAUUAUUAAAGUACAUAUGAU